rnacentral:rRNA from 1 species
UACGUAGGGGGCAAGCGUUGUCCGGAAUCAUUGGGCGUAAAGAGCGCGUAGGCGGCCCUGUAAGUCCGCUGUGAAAGUCAAGGGCUCAACCCUUGAAUGCCGGUGGAUACUGCAGGGCUAGAGUCCGGAAGAGGCGAGUGGAAUUCCUGGUGUAGCGGUGAAAUGCGCAGAUAUCAGGAGGAACACCGGUGGCGAAGGCGGCACUCUGGGCCGGUACUGACGCUGAGGAGCGAAAGCGUGGGGAGCGAACAGG